rnacentral:lncRNA from 1 species
GCUUUCUGUGUCCUCAGCGCAGGGAUCGGGCGCACAGGUACCUUCAUCGCCCUGGACUUCCUCCUGAAGAUGGGGAAGGCUGAGGGGAAGGUGGAUGUGUUUCACUGUGUGCAGCAGCUGCGGGAGCAGCGGGUCAGCAUGGUGCAGACCAAGUCCACAGGUUUUCCAGGCUGCCUUCCCCAGAGCAGGGGUCUGGUCUGAGAGGGAGCAUUAAACCUCAGGAAGAUGAUCUUGUCUGGGUUGCUGAAGUUGCUGGCUGUGUCCCAAAGCAGGGCUGCCUGCAAUGAGAAGUGUCUGGCCUCAGGGAUCCGCAGCAGGAAGGAGCAGUACAGCUUCCUGUACGAGGCGCUUCUCGAAGGCUUGCUCUGCGGCAGCACCGGGGUCCCACUGGAGAGCAUCGCCACCCUCGUCCACUCCCUUGGAGAAGCUGAGACCUCAGGCCACAACAGUGUCCUAGAGAAGGAGUUCAAGGUACCACCAGGAGAUGGUGCACUCUGUGCUUUGUGCUGUGAGGGCUCAUCUGUGAUGCCAACCCACUCCCUGCUCCCCUCCCCAGCAGUGGGAUGGAGAUGGGGAUCAUUUCUCUGGAGUGGAUCAAGAAGGUGAGGUGCUGACAGGCAGGACUGACUUGGGUGAAUCAUCUCUACAGGCCCUGCAGAGAUU